GUCGAACGCUGGCGGCGUGCCUAAUACAUGCAAGUCGACCUUAGUGGCGACCGGGUGAGUAACACGUUGGUAACCUGCCCCUCAGAAGGGGAUAACACUUGGAAACAGGUGCUCAUACCGUAUACUGCUGGAUGGACCCGGGGUGCAUUAGCGAGUUGGUGGGGGAACGGCUCACCAAGGCCACGAUGCAUAACGGAUCUGAUAGGGUGAGCGGCCACACUGGGACUGAGACACGGCCCAAACUCCUACGGGAGGCAGCAGUAGGGAAUAUUCGGCAAUGGACGAAAGUCUGACCCAGCAAUGCCGCGUGAGUGAAGAAGGUUUUCGGAUCGUAAAGCUCUGUAAGUAGGGAAGCGGUAUCUAAAGAGAAAGCAACGGCUAACUACGUGCCAGCCGCCGCGGUAAUAC
rnacentral:rRNA from 1 species